rnacentral:lncRNA from 1 species
UGAGUUAGGGAAGUUGUUCUCUGGGCAUGGUGGUGCGCACCUGUUUGAUCCCAGCACCCAGAAGGCAGAAGCAGGCAGGUCUCUGCGUUCCAGGCUAUCCAUGCUACUUAGUGAAACCCCGUCUUAACAGGGGAGGGAGAAGGGGCAGUGAGACUGCCCAGGGGUUAGGAGCCCUGUUGGUCCUGCAGAGGACUCAGUUCCCGACAUAUACAUGGUGGCUAGCGACCAUCUGUAACCCCAGUUCUAGGGCAUCCAACUCUCUCUUCCAGCCUCCUUGGGCACUGCACACACAUGCACAUAUAGUCAUGCAGAUAAAACAUUCAUCUACAAUAAAUAAAUCUAAAACAACAACACACUGGUGCACAUACACAGUGGAUAAAUUCAAUAAAAAUGUUGAGAAUGCUUUGUGUCACACACAGUGGUGCAUGUCUAUAGUCACUCAGAAGGUAGAAAGGGUUAUAAAUUUGAAGCCAGCCUGGGCUACAUAGAAAGACCUGUCUGAAAAGAAAAGAAAAGAAAAGAAAAGAAAAGAAAAGGGGAGGAAAGGAAAGAAAAGAAAAGAAA